CUGCGGAGGGAUCAUUACACAAAUGAAAAUAUGAAGGCCCUUCAAACGGGCUGGAUUAUUUUUCUUCACCCUUGUCUUUUGCGCACUUGUUGUUUCCUGGGCGGGUUCGCUCGCCACCAGGACCACACCAUAAACCUUUUUGUUAAUGCAAUCAGCGUCAGUAAAAAGUAAUAAUUAUUUUACAACUUUCAACAACGGAUCUCUUGGUUCUGGCAUCGAUGAAGAACGCAGCGAAAUGCGAUACGUAGUGUGAAUUGCAGAAUUCAGUGAAUCAUCGAAUCUUUGAACGCACAUUGCGCCCUUUGGUAUUCCAAAGGGCAUGCCUGUUCGAGCGUCAUUUGUACCCUCAAGCUUUGCUUGGUGUUGGGCGUUGUUUGUCUUUGGCCUUGCCCAAAGACUCGCCUUAAAACAAUUGGCAGCCGGCCUACUGGUUUCGCAGCGCAGCACAUUUUUGCGCUUGCAAUCAGCAAAAGAGGUUGGCCAUCCAUCAAGACUACAUUUAUACGUUUGACCUCGGAUCAGGUAGGGA
rnacentral:rRNA from 1 species